rnacentral:rRNA from 1 species
UACGGAGGGAGCUAGCGUUGUUCGGAAUUACUGGGCGUAAAGCGCACGUAGGCGGCUUUGUAAGUUAGAGGUGAAAGCCCGGGGCUCAACCCCGGAAUAGCCUUUAAGACUGCAUCGCUUGAAUCCGGGAGAGGUGAGUGGAAUUCCGAGUGUAGAGGUGAAAUUCGUAGAUAUUCGGAAGAACACCAGUGGCGAAGGCGGCUCACUGGACCAGUACCGACGUUCAGGCACGAAAGCGUGGGGAGCAAACAGG